GACUCCAUUUUCUUCCGCGGGGGCUUAGCGCAGCGGAGAAACAGCGGCCUUCCAAGCAGCCUUCAAGGAGGCUGUGAGAAGUAGCAACCAUGUCUGAUUUUGUGGAAAGUGAGGCUGAAGAGUCAGAAGAAGAAUACAAUCAUGAAGGCGAGGUGGUACCUAGAGUCACCAAGAAGUUUGUGGAAGAGGAGGAUGAUGAUGAGGAGGAAGAGGAGAAUCUAGAUGAUCAAGACGAGCGAGGCAACCUGAAAGACUUUAUUAAUGAUGAUGAUGAUGAAGAGGAAGGAGAGGAGGAUGAAGGCAGUGACUCUGGUGACUCAGAAGAUGAUGUUGGCCACAAGAAGAGAAAACGCACAUCCUUUGAUGACCGCCUGGAAGAUGAUGAUUUUGACCUCAUUGAGGAGAAUUUGGGUGUUAAAGUCAAACGAGGAGUAA
rnacentral:lncRNA from 1 species